rnacentral:lncRNA from 1 species
UUUCUUUUUUCUUUAAGAUUUUUUUUUUCUUUUCCUGAUUACACUGUAGCUGUCUUCAGACACACCAGAAGAGGGCUUGGACCCCAUUAUAGAUGCUUGUGAGUCACCAUGUGGGGACUGGGAGUUGAACUCAGAACUUGUGGAAGAGCUCUUAACCGCUGAGCCAUCUCUCCAGCACUGAGGGCCUACGUCUUGAUCCUCAGGCUGCGUGACGAGACUCUGCCGUUAGGCCUCGGGUGAGCUGCUGAGACUCAGAGUCCACCCACGAGUGACACAACCUCCAGCAACCAAGUCCCAACUACUUCAACAGAGUCAAGUCUAGUAAUGCCACUCCCUGUAGGCAAGCAUUGGAAGACAUGAUCUGUGACGCCUUUCCUGUUCAAUCUACCACAAGCUCUUUCUAAACUUGUGAGGAAAUCCAGCAGUGGAAGAGGUUAAGCAAAUUCUACAUCCCAGGGGAGAUCACAGACCUCAGCAAUUGUACAAAACGAUGCAAAUUUAAGCAUUCCUUCUAACUGGGAUUUUGUUCUCAUUUCUCUCAUUUACAGCAGUUUAAGAAUUAAUUUUUUAUAGUCUUUCUAGAUGAAUACAAGAAAAUCCUAUGUGUUAAGCAUUGACCAGAGGAUACGUUAGGUGAUAUGCACAUGUAUGUGAUGUGAUGUGUAUGAACAUGUAUGUGAUGUAUAUGCAUGUAUAUGUGAUAUGUUGUAUAUGUAUAUGUAUGUGAUGUAUAUGUAUGUGAUGUGAUAUAUAUGUACGUGUACUUGGUGUGAUGUAUAUACAUGAGAAUGUGAUGUAUAUGUGUAUAGAUAUAUGUGUGUGUGUAUAAUGUGAUACAUAUAUGAGAUGCAGCUUUUGUUUUCUCAAAUCUAGUUGUUUGUGUGUCUCAAAUCAGCUGUCAACAUUUUAAAUCCUUCUUAGCAUAUAAAGGGCAUUUUUAUUAUUUUGAAAAUUUUGUGCAUGUAUAUAGCAUGCUUUUAUCAUAUUCACCCAUCAUUACCUUGCUUUGUUCCCUCCCUCUCCUGCUUAACUCCUUGCUUUCUUCUUCCUAAUUAGCCUCCUUCCGACUUUAAUGUCUUUGUGUGUGCGCGUGCAUGCAUUCAUGCCUGUGGUGCGUCCCCCUGUGUUUAAUUAGAAUUGCUUGUAUGAGUAUGCAUGUAGCGUUAUUUACUGGAGCAUGAGCAACUUGUCAGGCUGUACCCCUGAGGAAAAUGUGUCCUCAUCUGCCAGCAAUCAUCAACUGCCAUUUUUUUACUCUUACGACAUAAAACAUGUAUGUAUCUCAGUUGUUACAUUGCUUUCAAGCUAUUCUCUCAAAUUCUGUACAAUAAAAUUCUUACUGUUUGCCCCAC